UCACAAUGAGCUUUGUCAACAUAAAAGUGGGGAUGUAACUGAUAUUUAAUAGCUCAAAGCUUUAUGCUAAGCAUAUAAUAAAUAAAAACUUUCAUUUGUCCUUUAUAUUUCCCCUGCUGGAGAACAAACUACAGUUUGUAUCCAUCAAAUAAGAAUGAAAUUCAACACCUUACCUUUCAAUAUUUAUUCAUGGAUUCCACUCUCCCCUCAAUAAUACAGACUCCAGAGAUUUAGAGAAAGAGAAAGAGGGAAGACAAACGAAAACACGUCUACUAAACAAAUAUGGCUUUGUUCCAGCAUAGCGCAAGUAUAACUUUACCUACAAAAUGAUUUUAAAAUGCACUUGACAAGAGGGUUUAUUAUGUCAUUAAUGUGCUUCCAGGCCUGUUUUAUUUUUGCAGUUGGCAAUUGCCAUAGCAACUUUAGAAGUUCAGAACUUCCUGGUGCUUCCUUUCUGUACAGAGAGUUCUUUCUUGUAUGUACUGAGUAAUGAAUGGCAAAGUGAAGAAAGGAUGAAAUGAAUACAUAAGGGAAUGAAAGAACGACCAAAACAGCAAUAUUCACCUUAUCUGGUUCCUCUGCUGGCACUAGUAAACUACUCAUAAUGUUCUAACGCAUGGUUUCCUAAGGAAAAACUCUAUAAAAGCCUCUAUCACCAGGUGGUGUAAAAUAAAUUUUGAAAUGAU